rnacentral:rRNA from 1 species
UACGAGGGGUGCAAGCUUUGCUCGGAAUUAUUGGGCGUAAAGGGUAGGUAGGUGGUCUCGUUUGUCUGGGGUGAAAGCCUUGAGCUUAACUCAAGAAGUGCCCUAGAAACGGCGAGACUGGAGUACUGGAGAGGGUCGUGGAAUUCCCGGUGUAGCGGUGAAAUGCGUAGAGAUCGGGAGGAACACCAGAGGCGAAGGCGGCGACCUGGACAGUUACUGACACUCAACUACGAAAGCGUGGGGAGCAAACAGG